rnacentral:rRNA from 2 species
AGCGGAGGAAAAGAAAAUAACAAUGAUUUCCCUAGUAACGGCGAGUGAAGAGGAAAGAGCUCAAAGUUGGAAACUGUUUGGCUUAGCUAAACCGUAUUGUAAACUGUAGAAACAUUUUCCUGGCACACCAGAUUAAUAAGUCCUUUGGAACAAGGCAUCAUGGAGGGUGAGAAUCCCGUCUUUGAUCUGAGUAGUUGUCUUUUGUGAUAUGUUUUCAAAGAGUCAGGUUGUUUGGGAAUGCAGCCUAAAUUGGGUGGUAAAUCUCACCUAAAGCUAAAUAUUUGCGAGAGACCGAUAGCGAACAAGUACCGUGAGGGAAAGAUGAAAAGAACUUUGAAAAGAGAGUUAAACAGUAUGUGAAAUUGUUAAAAGGGAACCGUUUGGAGCCAGACUGGUUUGCCUGUAAUCAACCUAGAAUUCGUUUUGGGUGCACUUGCAGGCUAUACCUGCCAACAACAGUUUGAUUUGGAGGAAAAAAUUAGUAGGAAUGUAGCCUCUCGAGGUGUUAUAGCCUACUAUCAUACUCUGGAUUGGACUGAGGAACGCAGCGAAUGCCUUUAGGCAAGAUUGCUGGGUGCUUUCGCUAAUAAAUGUUAGAAUUUCUGCUUCGGGUGGUGCUAAUGUUUAAAGGAGGAACACAUCUAGUAUAUUUUUUAUUCGCUUAGGUUGUUGGCUUAAUGACUCUAAAUGACCCGUCUUGA